UUGGAGGGCAAGUCUGGUGCCAGCAGCCGCGGUAAUUCCAGCUCCAAUAGCGUAUAUUAAAGUUGUUGCAGUUAAAAAGCUCGUAGUUGAAUUUCGGGAUCAAAUUGUCGGUCGUGCCUCGGUACGCACUGGUAUUAUUGGUUCCUACCUUCUGAAGAACCGCGAUGUCAUUAAUUUGGUGUCGUGGGGAAUCAGGACUGUUACUUUGAAAAAAUUAGAGUGUUUAAAGCAGGCGCACGCUUGAAUACAUUAGCAUGGAAUAAUGAAAUAGGACGUUUGAUCCUAUUUUGUUGGUUUCUAGGAUUGACGUAAUGAUUAAUAGGGAUAGUUGGGGCAUUAGUAUUCAAUUGUCAGAGGUGAAAUUCUUGGAUUUAUUGAAGACUAACUACUGCGAAAGCAUUUGCCAAGGAUGUUUUCAUUAAUCAAGAACGAAAGUUAGGGGAUCGAAGACGAUCAGAUACCGACGUAGUCUUAACCAUAAACUAUGCCGACUAGGGAUCGGAUGAUGUUAAUUUUUUAAUGACUCAUUCGGCGCCUUACGGGAAACCAAAGUGUUUGGGUUC
rnacentral:rRNA from 1 species